UGAAUACGAGACGCUAAGGCGUCGAAGUAGUGUAUGUCAUACUUCCAAGAAAAGCUUGCACUGUCAUAGAUAAAAAACGCCUGUACCAUAACCGACACAGGUGGGUAGGUAGAGUAUACUAAGGGGCGCGAGAUAACUCUCUCUAAGGAACUCGGCAAAAUAACUCUGUAACUUCGGGAGAAGGAGUGCCUUAUUCGUAAGGUUGCAAUAACAAGAUCCAAGCAACUGUUUAUCAAAAACACAGGUCUCCGCUAAGUCGUAAGACGAUGUAUGGGGGCUGACGCCUGCCCAGUGCCAGAAGGUUAAAGAAGUUGGUUAGCAAUUGCGAAGCUGAUAACUGAAGCCCUGGUGAACGGCGGCCGUAACGAUAACGGUCCUAAGGUAGCGAAAUUCCUUGUCGGGUAAGUUCCGACCCGCACGAAAGGCGUAAUGAUUUGGAUACUGUCUCGGAGAGGGGCUCGGUGAAAUAGACUUGUCUGUGAAGAUGCGGACUACCUGCACCAGGACAGAAAGACCCUAUGAAGCUUUACUGUAACUUGAAAUUGAAAUUGGACUUUAUUCGCGCAGUAUAGGUGGGAGGCGUUGAUUAUAAUCUUGUGGGAUUAUUGGAGCCAUCAGUGAGAUACCACUCUUGUAAUGUUAGAUUUCUAACUUUGAAUCAUUAUCUGGUCAAAGAACAGUUUCAGGCGGGCAGUUUGACUGGGGCGGUCGCCUCCUAAACGGUAACGGAGGCGUACAAAGGUUUCCUCUGAACGGUUAGAAAUCGUAUCUAGAGUGUAAAGGCAUAAGGAAGCUUGACUGUGAGACCUACAAGUCGAGCAGGGACGAAAGUCGGUCUUAGUGAUCUGACGGUACUGAGUGGAAAGGCCGUCACUCAACGGAUAAAAGUUACUUUAGGAUAACAGGCUGAUCUCCCCCAAGAGUUCACAUCGACGGGGAGGUUUGGCACCUCGAUGUCGGCUCAUCGCAUCCUGGGGCGGUAGUACGUCCCAAGGGUUGGGCUGUUCGCCCAUGAAAGCGGUACGCGAGCUGGGUUCAGAACGUCGUGAGACAGUUCGGUCCAUAUCCGGUGUAGGCGCUAGAAUAUUGAGAGGAGCCGUCUUUAGUACGAGAGGACCGAGAAGGACAUACCUCUGGUGUACCAGUUAUCGUGCCAACGGUAAACGCUGGGUAGCUAUGUAUGGAGUGGAUAACCGCUGAAAGCAUCUAAGUGGGAAGCCCACCUCAAGAUAAGUAUUCUCAAC
rnacentral:rRNA from 1 species